rnacentral:lncRNA from 10 species
GUGUUGUAUGAAUGCGUUGUAUGAGUGUGUUGUGUUGUGUGUGAGUUGCAUGGGUUGUAUGUGUGUUGUAUGUGCAUAUUGUGUUGAAUUGCAUUUAUUGUAUAUUUGAGUGUUGUGUGUUGUAUGAGUGUGUUGUACGUGUAUUUGUGAGUUGUAUGUUUUGUAUGUUGUAUGAGUGUUGUGUGUUGUAUGAAUGUUGUGUGUUGUGCAUAUGUGUAUGUUGUAUAUGAGUUGCAUGUAUUGUGUGUAUGUUGUGUGAGGGUUGUGUGUUGUAUUAGUGUGUUGUACGUGUGUUUGUGAGUUGCAUGUGUUGUGUGUUGUAUAAGUGUUGUGUGUUGUGAGUGCAUUGUACAUGUAUUUGUGUUGAGUUGUAAGUAUUGUGUAUGUUGUAUGUGUUAUAUGUUGUGUGAGUGUGUUGUACGUGCAUGUUGUGUUGUGCGUGAGUUCCAUUUCUUGUAUGUGUUGUAUGAGUGUAGUGUAUGUGUAUGUUGUGUUGUGAGUACGUGAAUGUUGCAUUGAGUUGCGUGUGUUGUAGGUGCAUGUUGUGUUGAACGUGAGUUGCAUGUGUUGUACGUGAGCUGUAUGAGUGUAUUGUAUGUGUAUGUGGUGAGUUGCAUGUAUUGUGUCUAUGUUGUGUGAGUGUUGUGUGUGCAUGUUGUGUUGUGAGUUGUGUGUGUUGUGUGUUGUAUGAGUGUUGUGUGUUGUAUGAGUGUGUUGCAUGUGCAUGUUGUUUGUGAAUUGUGUGUUGUGUGUGCUGUAUGAGUGCAUUGUACGUGCGUGUUGUGUUGUAUGUGAGUUACGUGUGUUGUGUGUUGUAUGAGUGUGUUGUACGUGUAUUUGUGAGUUGUAUGUUUUGUAUGUUGUAUGAGUGUUGUGUGUUGUAUGAAUGUUGUGUGUUGUGCAUAUGUGUAUGUUGUAUAUGAGUUGCAUGUAUUGUGUGUAUGUUGUGUGAGGGUUGUGUGUUGUAUGAGUGUGUUGUACGUGUGUUUGUGAGUUGCAUGUGUUGUGUGUUGUAUAAGUGUUGUGUGUUGUGAGUGCAUUGUACAUGUAUUUGUGUUGAGUUGUAAGUAUUGUGUAUGUUGUAUGUGUUAUAUGUUGUGUGAGUGUGUUGUACGUGCAUGUUGUGUUGUGCGUGAGUUCCAUUUCUUGUAUGUGUUGUAUGAGUGUAGUGUAUGUGUAUGUUGUGUUGUGAGUACGUGAAUGUUGCAUUGAGUUGCGUGUGUUGUAGGUGCAUGUUGUGUUGAACGUGAGUUGCAUGUGUUGUACGUGAGCUGUAUGAGUGUAUUGUAUGUGUAUGUGGUGAGUUGCAUGUAUUGUGUCUAUGUUGUGUGAGUGUUGUGUGUGCAUGUUGUGUUGUGAGUUGUGUGUGUUGUGUGUUGUAUGAGUGUUGUGUGUUGUAUGAGUGUGUUGCAUGUGCAUGUUGUUUGUGAGUUGUGUGUUGUGUGUGCUGUAUGAGUGCAUUGUACGUGCGUGUUGUGUUGUAUGUGAGUUACGUGUGCUGUAUGUG